rnacentral:rRNA from 1 species
AUGGAAGCCCCGGUGACCAUUCUGAAUCUGUUUGGCGAAGCAACGGGCCUGAAGAUCAAUCGGCAGAAGUCCACAGUUACACCAAUUAGAUGUGACAACAUAGAUACGCAGCAAGUUUUGCAAUGUUUUGGAGGAAUUGCCUCCACUUUUCCGCUCAAAUACUUGGGGCUCCCUCUCAUACUGUCAAGAACCAGGCUGGUGCACCUCCAGUUCGUGCUUGAUAGGAUCAGAGCAAGAUUGGCUGGCUGGAAGGGCAAGCUGCUGAGCAUAGCGGGGCGACGCGUGCUGGUCAGGGCGGUGCUCACUGCCAUCCCAACGUUUGCCAUGACCGUGCUACGUAUGCCUAAGAAGUUUUUCAAGGAAAUUGACAAAGUGCGAUGUCGCUUUCUCUAGGCGCACGACGAAGAGCUGUCAGGAGGCAAAUGCAAAGUGAAUUGGGCCAAGGUUUGCUCCCCGCUAGACAGAGGAGGGCUUGGUGUUCUGGACAUAGAGCGCUUUGGCCGCGUGUUGCGUCAAAGAUGGCUGUGGUUGGCCUGGAAACACCCGGAACGGCCCUGGGUGGGAAUGGAGGUGCCAUGUUCGGAGGCAGACAAGGAUUUCUUCAGCGCAGCAACUUCUGUCACUAUCGGCAACGGACAUACCGCAAGAUUCUGGACCUGCUCCUGGCUGGGGGAAGGCACUCUCAAACUGUUGUUCCCAGACCUGUACAAGCACUCGAGGAGGAAGGCCAGGACAGUCGCCGAUGCCCUGCGAGAUGAUCGCUGGCUACUUGAUCUCGCACACGGACUGAUGGAUCAAUUGGUGCAUGAUUGUGUGAUGCUAGCUAGGCUGCUGCGUUCGGCGGAGAUCAUCAUAAACCCGCAGGCCAGCGACAGCAUCAGGUGGAACUUGGAGGCCAGUGGCUGCUACACCUCCUCAUCUGCCUACACGGCGCAGUUCCAAGCAAAUCACUACUCCGUUUUUAGGCGCAUCAUAUGGAAGACUUGGGCACCCGGAAAGCUUAAGAUGUUCUUCUGGCUCUUGCUGCUGAACAGGUUGUGGUGCAAUGACCAGCUCCAGCGACGAGGUUGGCCGAACUCCUACUUCUGCCAACUCUGUCUCAGAAGCCUGGAGACUGCUGAUCACCUCUUCUGGUCCUGCCCAUUCGCUCAGGCUCUCUGGGCCAACCUGUCGACUUGGAAUGGCUGUGAGGCCUUGAAACUGCAAGCGGACAACGACGGCCUGGACGGAGCGGACCGCCUGCUCAAGGUUGUAGAAAGCACCAAACCUGAGCUCAGAAAGGGGAUCAAAUCCGUGACACUGCUUGCAUUGUGGGAAUUGUGGAGGCACCGAAACGACUGCACUUUCAGAGGGCACGCGGCCUCUUCGAGUGAGGUGAUAUAG